GUUGGGAACAGCCUCACAUGAUGACCCUUCUCUCUCUGAUGGCUGUGGUGGUGAUGAUCAUCAAACCAAAGCCUCUAAGAAGUUGACUGAAGAGGCUGUUCCUUG
rnacentral:snoRNA from 3 species